rnacentral:rRNA from 1 species
AUACAUGCAAGUCGAGCGAACAGAUAAGGAGCUUGCUCCUUUGACGUUAGCGGCGGACGGGUGAGUAACACGUGGAUAACCUACCUAUAAGACUGGGAUAACUUCGGGAAACCGGAGCUAAUACCGGAUAACAUAUUGAACCGCAUGGUUCAAUAGUGAAAGGCGGCUUUGCUGUCACUUAUAGAUGGAUCCGCGCCGUAUUAGCUAGUUGGUAAGGUAACGGCUUACCAAGGCAACGAUACGUAGCCGACCUGAGAGGGUGAUCGGCCACACUGGAACUGAGACACGGUCCAGACUCCUACGGGAGGCAGCAGUAGGGAAUCUUCCGCAAUGGGCGAAAGCCUGACGGAGCAACGCCGCGUGAGUGAUGAAGGUCUUCGGAUCGUAAAACUCUGUUAUCAGGGAAGAACAAAUGUGUAAGUAACUGUGCACAUCUUGACGGUACCUGAUCAGAAAGCCACGGCUAACUACGUGCCAGCAGCCGCGGUAAUACGUAGGUGGCAAGCGUUAUCCGGAAUUAUUGGGCGUAAAGCGCGCGUAGGCGGUUUUUUAAGUCUGAUGUGAAAGCCCACGGCUCAACCGUGGAGGGUCAUUGGAAACUGGAAAACUUGAGUGCAGAAGAGGAAAGUGGAAUUCCAUGUGUAGCGGUGAAAUGCGCAGAGAUAUGGAGGAACACCAGUGGCGAAGGCGACUUUCUGGUCUGUAACUGACGCUGAUGUGCGAAAGCGUGGGGAUCAAACAGGAUUAGAUACCCUGGUAGUCCACGCCGUAAACGAUGAGUGCUAAGUGUUAGGGGGUUUCCGCCCCUUAGUGCUGCAGCUAACGCAUUAAGCACUCCGCCCUGGGGGAGUACGACCGCAAGGUUGAAACUCAAAGGAAUUGACGGGGACCCGCACAAGCGGUGGGAGCAUGUGGUUUAAUUUCGAAGCAACGCGAAGAACCUUACCAAAUCUUG